rnacentral:RNase_P_RNA from 1 species
CAUGCAGGCUGCGCGAUCGCUUUUGAAAAGAAGAGGAAAGUCCGAACACCAUAGGGCAGCGAGCCGGAUAACGUCCGGGCGGCCGGGAAACUGGUUGACGACAAGUGCAACAGAGAAUAGACCAGCCUUUUCGAAGGUGAUGGGUGAAACGGUGAGGUAAGAGCUCACCGGCUCGUCUGGUAACAGGCGGGGCCAGGUAAACUCCUCGCGGUGCAAGACCAAAUAGGGCUACGAAUGGGACUGCCCAUCCCGUGUGUCUAGCAACAGGCACUGCGUAGCCGGGUAGGUUGCUCGAGCCGACCGGUAACGGCCGGCCUAGAUGAAUGAUCGCACCGUUUCGACGGUCACAAAAUUCGGCUUACAGGCCUGUUUUGAUC